rnacentral:rRNA from 2 species
AGAGUUUGAUCCUGGCUCAGAUUGAACGCUGGCGGCAGGCCUAACACAUGCAAGUCGAGCGGAUGAAGAGAGCUUGCUCUCUGAUUCAGCGGCGGACGGGUGAGUAAUGCCUAGGAAUCUGCCUGAUAGUGGGGGACAACGUUUCGAAAGGAACGCUAAUACCGCAUACGUCCUACGGGAGAAAGCAGGGGACCUUCGGGCCUUGCGCUAUCAGAUGAGUCUAGGUCGGAUUAGCUAGUUGGUGAGGAAUGGCUCACCAAGGCGACGAUCCGUAACUGGUCUGAGAGGAUGAUCAGUCACACUGGAACUGAGACACGGUCCAGACUCCUACGGGAGGCAGCAGUGGGGAAUAUUGGACAAUGGGCGAAAGCCUGAUCCAGCCAUGCCGCGUGUGUGAAGAAGGUCUUCGGAUUGUAAAGCACUUUAAGUUGGGAGGAAGGGCAUUAACCUAAUACGUUAGUGUUUUGACGUUACCGACAGAAUAAGCACCGGCUAACUUCGUGCCAGCAGCCGCGGUAAUACGAAGGGUGCAAGCGUUAAUCGGAAUUACUGGGCGUAAAGCGCGCGUAGGUGGUUUGUUAAGUUGAAUGUGAAAGCCCCGGGCUCAACCUGGGAACUGCAUCCAAAACUGGCAAGCUAGAGUAUGGCAGAGGGUGGUGGAAUUUCCUGUGUAGCGGUGAAAUGCGUAGAUAUAGGAAGGAACACCAGUGGCGAAGGCGACCACCUGGGCUAAUACUGACACUGAGGUGCGAAAGCGUGGGGAGCAAACAGGAUUAGAUACCCUGGUAGUCCACGCCGUAAACGAUGUCGACUAGCCGUUGGGAUCCUUGAGAUCUUAGUGGCGCACGUAACGCAUUAAGUCGACCGCCUGGGGAGUACGGCCGCAAGGUUAAAACUCAAAUGAAUUGAC